rnacentral:rRNA from 1 species
ACGGAAGGCAGCAGUGGGGAAUAUUGGGCAAUGGGCGAAAGCCUGACCCAGCAACGCCGCGUGAAGGAAGAAGGCCUUCGGGUUGUAAACUUCUUUUACCAGGGACGAAGGACGUGACGGUACCUGGAGAAAAAGCAACGGCUAAAUACGUGCCAGCAGCCGCGGUAAUACGUAUGGAGCAAGCGUUAUCCGGAUUUACUGGGUGUAAAGGGAGCGUAGACGGCGAAACAAGUCUGAAGUGAAAUCCCGGGGCUCAACCCCGGAACUGCUUUGGAAACUGUUUUGCUAGAGUGCAGGAGAGGUAAGCGGAAUUCCUAGUGUAGCGGUGAAAUGCGUAGAUAUUAGGAGGAACACCAGUGGCGAAGGCGGCUUACUGGACUGUAACUGACGUUGAGGCUCGAAAGCGUGGGGAGCAAACAGGAUUAGAUACCCUGGUA